CAGCAGCCACGGUAAUACGAAGGGUGCAAGCGUUAAUCGGAUUUACUGGGCGUAAAGGGCGCGUAGGUGGUUAUUUAAGUGAGAUGUGAAAGCCCCGGGCUUAACCUGGGAACUGCAUCUUAUACUGGGUAACUGGAGUGCAGUAGAGGGUAGUGGAAUUUCCGGUGUAGCGGUGAAAUGCGUAGAUAUCGGAAGGAACACCAGUGGCGAAGGCGGCUACCUGGACUGAGACUGACACUGAGGCGCGAGAGCGUGGGGAGCAAACAGGAUUAGAUACCCGAGUAGUCCCUGUCUCUUAUAC
rnacentral:rRNA from 1 species